rnacentral:tRNA from 1 species
GGAGCAGUAGUUGAGUUGGUUAGAGUACCGGCCUGUAACGCCGGGGGUAGCGGGUUCGAGUCCCGUCCGCUCCGCCA